rnacentral:lncRNA from 1 species
GGAUGAUUGAUUGUACCCGCCAGCUGGCUAAUAUCAUAAUUAACAAAGUUGCUACCAUGUCUGAGAAGUUUAAUCGAAAAAAUUGCCGGCAGUGUGAUGCCAUUGUCACAGAGAUCACAAGCACAGCAGUGUUGACUUUUGCACUGGUGGAGCCGCAGGACUAUGUAGAUGUGCUGAAAGUCGUUCGCUGGGAUAACUGAA